AGGCAGCAUGGGGGAAUAUUGCACAAUGGGCGCAAGCCUGAUGCAGCCAUGCCGCGUGUAUGAAGAAGGCCUUCGGGUUGUAAAGUACUUUCAGCAGUGAGGAAGGCGAGUACGUUAAUAGCGUGCUCGUUUGACGUUAGCUGCAGAAGAAGCACCGGCUAACUCCGUGCCAGCAGCCGCGGUAAUACGGAGGGUGCGAGCGUUAAUCGGAAUUACUGGGCGUAAAGCGCAUGCAGGUGGUUUGUUAAGUCAGAUGUGAAAGCCCCGGGGCUCAACCUCGGAAUUGCAUUUGAAACUGGCAGACUAGAGUACUGUAGAGGGGGUAGGAAUUUCAGGUGUAGCGGUGAAAUGCGUAGAGAUCUGAAGGAAUACCGGUGGCGAAGGCGGCCCCCUCGGACUGAUACUGACACUCAGAUGCGAAAGCGUGGGGAGCAAACAGGAUUAGAUACCCUGGUAG
rnacentral:rRNA from 1 species